GACAGAGGUGCCGAGCGUUAGGCGGAAUCACUGGGCUUAAAGCGUGUGUAGGCGGAUCCGUAAGUACCUUGUGAAAUCCCAUCGGCUCAACCGUGGAAUUGCUCCCAGUACUGCAUCGCUCGAGGGGAGUAGGGUUGCGGAACUACCGGUGGAGCGGUGAAUGUGUUGAUAUCGGUGGGAACGCCAGUGGCGAAAGCGGCGAAACUUGACCCGUUCCUGACGCUGAGGCGCGAAAGCUAGGGAGCAAACGGGAUUAGAUACCGA
rnacentral:rRNA from 1 species